rnacentral:sRNA from 1 species
UUGCAGACGCCUUUAUUUCGUGCAUAAAUCGUUUUGGGCGACUAGACAUCGUCGUCAACAACACGGCUGACAUGGAGCUCGACGUAUCAAUCGACGAUCGGGACGAAAUGAACGAUGCGAUCAUGCGUGUUCACUAUGGUGGAGUGGUCAGUGGAACGCUUCUAGCAAUCAAGUACAUGGGAGCCCCGAACGGAGGCAGAGGCGGAACUGUGGUGCAGACCACGUGCUGCGGGUCGGCGACAAAUAACAUUGUCGGGUACACGAAAGUGAUCGGUGUAAGUUUAUUGAAAUGCAGUGGAGCAUGCAUGGUGAUGGGGUGGGUAGAUCACCCUACCCAUGGAAGUUGAACCUUGGUUUAUUUAGUUGUAUGUAUUUACAAUAAUUGUACCUAGGUACUCUAGUAUACAAUACAAUUUUGUAAAAUUAGAAUAAAUUAAAAAUAUUACUGAAAAAACAAAAC